AGAUUUAUUUUAUUUUGGUGCAUUGUGUUUUAUUUUUGAUAUAUUUAUAUAUGUUUUCUAUUUUAUCUGGUCAUUCUCUUCUCACGUUGAACAGCUCGUUUCACCGAACAUCUUGUUUUCUGCGUUCAAUCAAAGAAAGAGAGCCGCGCGUGUUUGGCACAGCGUGCGUGAAUGAAGACAGACUUUGACUUUCGGCUGAACUUUAAAUAAAGGCCGUGUUUAUUUGCCGCUGUUUUCCUGCAGAGGAAGGAAAGUUGAGUCACGGCGCGCUGAACAACAGUCACGGCUCACUUGUGUAAAACAGGAUUUGUAGAGUGUGUCUCAUGGCUGCUGUCCUAAUUAUGAAAUAUAUGUGUUUACCACGAAACAACAACAUUUACAUCUUCUUCGUGACUUAUCUGGGUCACGCUCCCAAAUUUACUCACUCACGCAUUCUCCUCAACAGGAUGAAAAGAAGAAAAAGAAGAAAAUGAAAACCAGAGAGACUGCAGAGCCAGGGAUUCUUGCAGAAGGUCUGCAGGGAAACAAAGGAGAAAAUAAAGGAGACGAGGAGAAGAAAAAGAAGAACGACAGAGAAUCAAGCUCUUCCUCUGACAGCUCCAGUGAGGAUGAGAAGUAGGAGAAGAAGAAGAAGAAGGAUUCAGGAGGAGAGGAUCUCGAGGAUCUCGCUGCGUCUCGGUCGUCUUCUGUCUGUCAGGAGCUUGAACUCAAACAGAAGGAUCUCAGAGAAGAGUCUUCAUCUUCAUCCCGAUUCGUCUUCAUCUUCAUCAUCAAGCAGCUCCUCUUCUUCUUCUUCUGACAGCGAUGAUGAGAAGAAGAAAAAAAAAAGAAGAAGAAGAAGAAGAAGAAGAAGCAUAAUCAUAAGAAAAAGGAGUCCAGCUCCUCUUCAUCACCCGACAGCAGCUCUUCAUCCUCAUCCUCAUCCUCUGACAGCGACAAGAAGAAGAAGAAGAAGAAGAAGAAGAAGAAGAGUGGAAAAGACAAGAAAAAGAAGAUGAAGAGUAAAAAGAAGGAAGCUAGCUCCAGUGAGAAGGAAGGAGAGAAGUCGUCUCUGCAGACUGAAGGAGAGUCGUGGAGAGCAGCAGCGCCUCCUGAAGACCUCUGACCGUCAUAGAGAGCCUGAUGGCUCGUCCUCAGAGAUACAUGCAUUCAGAGCCGCGGGGAUGUUUGUAUCAAUGGUUAUGAUUGUUUGACAAAUUAAUCCAACUUUUUAUAUAUAUAUAUAUAUAUAUAUAUAUAUAUAUAUAUAUAUAUUAUAUAUUAGAAUUGCAAGAUAAAAGUCAUAACUGUGAGAUAAAAGGCUUUAAUUGUAGGGAUGCUCCGAUCAGUAUUUUUGAUCAAAGAAAGCCGAUACCGAUAUUAUAAUCGGUAUUUUAUUUUACCGAUAAUCCUUCUUUUUAUUGUGUAGAAUUAUUUGUAAUGAUACUCCAAUCAGGAUUUUUAGAUUUAUUCAGGGCCUGAAUUUCACUCUAUCUUUUCAUUUCUAUCUUUGCAUUUUUUAGACAUUUUUUUUGACUUUUUUUUUUAACAUUUUUUGGAUUUUUUUUAGGCAUUUUUUUGGGGCAAUUUUUCAGAAAUGGAUAUUUAUCCUUCCUUCCUUCAUGGGAUAAAUGUACCUGGGCGCACUUUUUUUAGCAAGACACGAAAUACGUACCACGUGAAAUGCAUCAACAAGUGUUUUUAUAUCAGUUUUUGCGUUUGUUAACCAUCACAUAGUUUUAAGGGUUGAAAAACAUGUCCGAUAACUUUUGGUGACAGUCCACGGAUAUUUAACGGAAUAAAAACAGAGUAAUACGUACCUAUAAAAGCGUGCCAGGGCUCACGUAUUGAAGCUGUGUUCCUCUCAAAGGAAAUAUUUUUUUAAAACCGCAUGGAAUCGUGCAGUAAGCUACGGAAAAACAGCAUUGCACAAUUUUUAUGAGACCAGGUUGUAUUUUUCGCACCUAAAACAGUGCAUUUUUUUUUUUUAAACAGCACAUGCACUUUGCUAUCAAUGUCUGUAUACCACAAACACAACAUUUAUACAUUAAUUGCAUAAUUUAAAUCUUUAUUACAAGAAAUCUUGCAGUUCAUAAAGCAGCUCACUUUGUUUUUGUACCUCCAGGAGUAUGGUCUUUUAUUGCUCUUUCCCGCCAAACCUAGCCAAAAACACACGUGUGUAGACUCUGAAACACAGUAGACUUUAGUUGUACGCAUAGACCUUUCACGGCAGGUGACGCAUCGGCUUGAGAUCGGUUUUCGAUCAAACGUCCCCAACCGAUUAUCGGCCGAUAACGACCAGCAGCCGAAUUGUGAAAAUUGUGAGGUAAACUCAACAAAGUGAUAAAUAUCCUUCAAAAGCUUGUUUCUGCGACAGAAUAAAAAACAAAUACAAAAGGCUAUUGCAACUUUUUAUUUCGGAGUUCUUAUUUCUCGUAAUCCUUAGAAGUCAGAUUUGCGAAUAUAAGAUGAAACGAUCGAAAAAAAAUCGCUAUUUGUGAAUCGUGAAAACGUUGCGCGCUCUUUUUGCUGUCAAGCAUUGUUCUUUUUUCAUCAAGUAAAUGUCAGAAUAACUAUAGAGUAAUAUUUCCAGAUCAGUCAUUUACUACUAAAAUCUGAUCUUUACGAUCUUUUGAGGAACAUCAUUUAUUCGUUUUAUUUUGUGAGUAAAAUAUUCCAUUUCGAUUUAAUUUUAUUUUUUUGCACUCAUUUUCUAUUUUAUUUUUCCUGCACAUUUUUUGCUUGA